GGAAACGCACCCCAAUAAGGGGCCGGGGCUUC
rnacentral:tRNA from 1 species